GGAAGUGAAGGCAAUCUGGCUGUGACAUCUGUCACCCCACUGAUUGCCAGGGUUGAUUCACCUGAUCUGGCUAGCUAAGUGGGUGUCCCCUUCCUCCCUCACCUCUCCAUGUGUGUCCCUCUUGAAGCAGUGUACUCAAAGAGGAGGACCUUCCCAGAAGAGGACCGUUCUUCAGUCAAAGGCAUUUGAGUAGCUGCAUUCCCCUGCUAGAACUUCCAGACAAGCUCUCAAAUUUGAGAACACUCUGAAUAGAAGUAGAAAGACUAUUAGGAUAUGAUGGAAUUCUGAACACUGUGUUGGAAAUGUGUA
ensembl:misc_RNA 7SK 7SK RNA